CUCUCUCUCUCUCUCUCUCUCUCUCUCAAAAAGACCUUUCUCUUCCUUUCUCCAUCGUGAAAUAGAACGUGAACACAUUUUUUCUCUCUUCUUCACAAAAUGAAGAAGAAAAAAACAAUUACUCUCUCUUUGGUUAUUUUAUUUCAAAAAUAGAGCACGUUUUCCUCACUUAAAAUAUAACAAAAAAAAAACUCACUGAAUCAAGCAUGUUUUUAGACCUAGACAUAACACAAAGGAAUGAUACAUAAUCAAUGGAGAACAUAACAAAUAAAUAAAAGGUAUUGAGGGAUGAAAUACCAAACAUAAACGAUGGAAGAGGUUGCGACUAAGUUGCAUGAUCUUCGGCAUGAUCUACUGUUGUUCGCAGCGGUAGACAAUGGUCAUUUCUGCGCAUGGGGGUGGGUGUUUUUGGAGCAUCAGAUUUGUGGGCAGUGUUGGUCACAGUGGUGAGCUUGUGCUAAAGGUUUAUUAUGUGUGGAUUGAGAAGAAUGAA